rnacentral:tRNA from 1 species
UCCGCGGUAGCUCAAUGGUAGAGCGCUUGCCUGUUAAGCAAAGGGUUGCUGGUUCGAGCCCAGCCCGCGGAGCCA